AGUUGGAGAGGACAGGAGAGGAGGGCGUGGCUUCUGGCGUUUGGCGGGUCUUUGUCUCUCGCUGGCGCUGGCACAGGAACUUGGGAUCCGUCUCCUCUUUCGCCUCCUCCGCUUUGGGAGCCCCGGGCUACUCUUUCACAGCCCCUGUUGCCCUGUGAUCUGUAGGUCCUUGGGGACGCACAGUUAAGAUGACAGGACAUCCUGGAAGCUGGGAAAUGAUUUCUUCCAGACCAUGGCUGGAGAAGGAAAGAAGGUGUGUUUUGCCUGAUUCAGGGACUAUAGAGAGAACCAAGUUCUGCAGGCCUGUCACCUAAGUCUCAGAUGAGUAUGAAUUCUUUUGUGUUUUUCACAGAUUUUUGCAGUGGCAGGACCAAGUUCAAAUGAGUCAUAGCCAAGUUUACAGUAAGAUGUGGUAGUAUUCUGUUUUGAACCGAGGACCAUGAUUGGCAAGCUUGCCACUUGGUCAAGUGCUUACCCUCUAAAGAUGUCUUCCUUGGUCUUUGCCUCCAGCUGGGUGUCACAAACUCUGAACUGGAUUCUAAGGCUUUCAUGAAUGCACUUAUGUUUCCCGUGGCAGCUGCAUUAUGUUGUGGGGGAUGUGCAUGCCGAACCUCCCAUUCUGUCAUCUUGCUUAUGUUACUCUCCUUUAUGUUUCACUUUCUCAAAUGAAUGUCAAGCUGGUGAUUUUUAGAUUCAAAAAUUCUAAAAUAAAUUGCUCAAAUUUCCACAUUAUGUAAGCUAUUAAUAAAAUGUCUUGUAGGUGCUACAUAUUUAUUAAAAUUUUUGGUUGUAAUUUUAAGCUCACUGCAGGCAGAAAGGAAUCAUUAACAUUUAUAUUCUUUUUUUUAGUCUGUAUCUAAAUGAUGGCAUAUUUUAAUUCCAGAUAUUUACUUUAUACUGCAGUAAUGCUCGUCAUAUUUUGCAAAAUUUAUGUUGUUCUUUUAUUUGGAAAUAUAAGGCUUUUUUAGCUCCUGAAAUCUAUAUUAUAGUCAUAUAAUUUUAUUAUGUUUUGUGGUAAGAAGUGCAGCAACAUAUUGAGAACAUAAUAAAAUUAUCCUGUAUUUUUAAUGAUUAUUUAUUAAAUUCCUCUCAUUAGAGCCUGUUAUUAAUGAUUGUAAUGUAUUUUCUGUAUAAUUUUACUGCAAUUUAUUAAAUUCUAAUGACUUAAAUUGUCUGCUUUUCAUGAGUGCACACAGUUGAAUGCUGUAGAUAUCUAAAGAAUUAUUUUUCGGCCGGUUGUGGUGGCUCAUGCCUGUAUUCCCAGCACCUUGGGAGGCCAAGGCGGGUGGAUCACGAGGUCAGGAGAUCGAGACAACCCUGACUAACAUGGUGAAACCCCGUCUCUACUAAAUAUACAAAAAAUUAACCGGGCAUAGUGGCAGGCGCCUGUAUCCCCAGCUACUCAGGAGGCUGAGGCAGGAGAAUGGCGUGAACUCAGUGGACAGAGUUUGCAGUGAGCCGAGAUCGCGCCACUGCACUCCAGCCUGGGCAACAGGGCAAGACUCUGUCUCAAAAAAAAAAUAAAAAAAAAAACGGUUAUUUUCCAUUGUAAAUCUAUGUUGUAUUCAGGAUUUUAUGCACGAAAAUCUCUCUUCUUAUUUUCAAGUCCGUGUUAUUGUGUUUCUUUUCUUGGGAGUUAUGUUUUCUCAGAUCAGUUAAAUGUAUUUUUAUUUUAAAGCUUGAUAUCAUCAGUUGAAAGAUAAUUUUUAGCUCGGUACACUUUAUCUCAAUGUGAUGUUUAAUAUAUGUGUGAAUUAGCUGUGUUUGUUGCUUAUAGAUAUAUCUGUAUGUUUUUCACUUAUGUAAGUAUGACAUCUUUUUCCUUGUUUUUUUGUUUUUUUCUUUUCAGUUUCAGAUAGGCUUUUUUUUUUUUUUUAAGAGAAUUUUAAAACAGAGUCGAAAGAAGAGAAAUCAGUUAUUUGUCCUCUUGCAGGGUGGGGAGACAACUUCCUUCCCCACAGGUUUGAGGCUAUGCCUAAGUGGUGAGUCUUGAGGAGAUGCAGAAAGGAUCCAUCCCAGGCACUUGGCUGGACUUAAGUAAGCAUAGCCUUUAGGCCACAAGACCUGAUGGUUUGGGUACUGGUCUGGACAUAAGUCCCCAUCUUCCCAGAAAUAUCGUCUUUUGUCUGCAACAACUGGCUGGAGAAAUAUUUCAGAAAGAUAUGUGUCUGGAACACCCAAAGGCAUACUUUUCCUUUCUCCUUGGCAUAGGCCUUGCAGCACUGAAGAAAGACCAGGUUUGCAAUGGAGCCUUCAACAGUCUUCAUCCCUAUGGAACUCAGGGUCUCAUAGGGUGACAGGAGAGGAGACAAAGCUAACUUGGGAAGAGUCUCUGUCCUUCAGCUUCUCCCCUACUGAAACACUAUAUAUUGGGCCCACAGUUCAUCACAAAACACACAUGCUCUCUUUCUUUCUCUCACACCCACAUCUUGGGAACCCAAAAACUUGAUGGCAGGUAGCUCUGGGUAUCCUUGGUCUGGCAUUCACCCACUGGGAAUCUAAGCUGUCCUAAAGCUCUUUUCAAUCACUUCUCACUGUUUCCAGGCCCAUGUGGGUAGGUGUUCCAGGCUUCAUUCUUUCAGGCUGAUCAUAAAGGCACAGUGUGGGAAAAUCCCCUACUGUGAUGGCCAUUGCUGGGAAGCAGGAAAGGCUAAGGGCCCACUGCUGCCCAAGGCUAGUAUAGAUGCCCUCUGCUCCACUCAUGUCCUCAAAGACUGAUAUCAGGUGCAGCAGCUGCUGUCUGGAAUGUUAUCAAACCAGGACUGCACAGGCACUGCAUUCUCUGUGUGGAAGACGUAAGAAGCAGGCGAGUUGUCCAGGAUGAGAGUUUUCCUCAGGUCCCUCCCCAGAUGGCUGAGGUCAUUGACAUAGCAGCCCUGGUGGAACAAACGUGACUCAUGGGCUAGGCAACCCCAGAACACCUCACACUGGUCCAGCACACCCAUCACAAUGUGUCUGGAAUUGGUGGGUUCUUGUUCUCACUGACUUCAAGAAUGAAGCCACAGACCCUCACGGUGAGUGUUACAGUUCUUAAAGGUGGCAUGUCUGGAGUUUGUUCCUUCUGACAUUCGGAUGUGUUGAGAGUUUCUUCCCUCUGGUGGGCUCGUGGUCUCGCUGGCUCAGGAGUGAAGCUGCAGACGUUCGCGGUGAGUGUUACAGCUCUUAAGGUGGCACAUCUGGAGUUGUUCAUUCCUCCAGGUGGGUUCGUGGUCUCGCUGGCUUCAGGAGUGAAGUUGUGGACCUUCACAGUGAGUGUUACAGCUCAUAAAGGCAUUGUGGACCCAAAGAGUGAGCAGCAGCAAUAUUUAUUGCAAAGAGCAAAAGAACAAAGCUUCCACAGUGUGGAAGGGGACCCGAGUGGGUUGCCACUGCUGGCUGGGGCAGCCUACUUUUAUUCCCUUAUCUGGCCCCACCCACAUCUUGCUGAUUGUUAGAGCCGAGUGGUCUUUUUUCACAGGGCGCUGAUUGGUGUGUUUACAAUCCCUGAGCUAGACACAAAGGUUCUCCACAUCCCCCCCAGUGUAGCUAGAUACAGAGUGUUGAUUGGUGCAUUCACAAACCCUGAGCUAGACACAGGGUGCUGGUUGGCAUGUUUACAAACCUUGAGCUAGAUACAGAGUGCCGAUUGGUGUAUUUACAAUCCCUGAGCUAGACACAAAGUUUCUCCACGUCCCUACCAGACUCAGGAGCCCAGCUGGCUUCACCCAGUGGAUCCCCCACAGGGUCUGCAGGUGUAGCUGCCUGCCAGUCUGGCACUGUGCACCCGCACUUCUCAGCCCUUGGGUGGUUGAUGGGACUGGGUGCUGUGGAGCAGGGGGCGGCACUCAUCCAGGAGGCUUGGGCACACAGGAGCCCACCGAUGGGGGGGAGGCUCAGGCAUGGCGGGCUGCAGGACCCAAGCCCUGCCCUGUGGGAUGGCAGCUAAGGCCCAGCGAGAAAUUGAGCACAGCAGCUGCUGGCCGAGGUGUUAAGCCCCUCACUGCCUGGGGCCGGUGGGGCCAGCCGGCGGCUCCGAGUGUGGGGUCCGCCGAGCUCGCGCUGGCCUUCAAGCACUGCACGCCGCCCUGGUUCCCACACGCACCUCUCCCUCCACACCUCGUCGCAAGCUGAGGGAGCCGGCUCCGACCUUGGCCAGCCCAGAAAGGGGCUCCCACAGUGCAGCGACAGGCUGAAGGGCUCCUAAAGUGCCGCCAAAGUUGGAGCCCAGGCAGAGGAGGCCCGGAGAGUGAGCAAGGGUUGUGAGGACUGCCAGCACGCUGUCACCUCUCAACAGGAUCUGCAUACUUGUUCAGUCUGGAAUGAAGAGAGCAAUGAAGAAAACACAUUUAAACAGUUCCUCCAGUCAUCUCAGGAACUCAUCCAUAUAAGGCCUCAUGGUCCCCUCAAUCUUUACAGUCACUAGGCAGUCAGCAUUGCUGAUUGGCUUAAUGGAGCUAUGCACAAGGGUUUCAUCCAUGUCAGUGACCAUACAGAUCGUUCCUUGAUUUUUCUCUGUCACCUCUGGGAGCAGGCAGGUCCCUGGGAUCUGAUAAAACUGAUACUGGAGACCCUUGAGCUGAUCCGACUUAGCAAUGGUGUUGACUCCCUCCUUAUGUGUGGAGAACUCAGUGGGGGAACUUGACUUGCCAACAUGCUGGGUGCAAGAACAGCAGAAAGGUACCUUCUAAGAUGUCACAAACAUGAGGCCUCUUCGGAGAGCACUUUGGAAACCAGGCCUUGCUUGCUAAGGACCAGGGCAUCUUCCCUCCAUGCCUGGGUGGUGAUGGAGCCUGGUUCCAUCUAACAAUCCUGAGGGCUCGGCUGGCUGGGUGGGAAGACAGCGGGCACGUUGGCUGGACUGGGCUGGGGGGCAUGGGCUGGGGCCUGAUUCAGUUCCCGAGAGUCUGACUUCCACAGCUGUUCACAUACCCCUUCUCCUUUCCAUCACAGGCCGGGAAGGGAGGCGGCCUGUAUGGACGGUGGAUGGCCUUGGCAGCAGCUCCCCAGGGUGCCCCCAGCCCCAAAUCCCCCAGCAGGAGCUUCAGGAUCCUCAGUUUGGGUCUAACCUAGGGAAUCCACCUCAUACUCAUGUUUUUUCAAGUUUUAUUUUAAGUUCAGUGGUCCAUAUGUGAUAAGCUUUUUUUUCAACUUUUAUUUUAAGUUUAGGGGUCCAUGUGCAGGAUAUGCAGGUCUCUUACAUAGAUAAACGUGUGCCAUUGUGCUUUACUGCACAGAUCAUCUCAUCACCCAGGUACUAAGCCCAGCAUCCGCAGCUAUUCUUCCUGCUGCUCUCCUUCCCCUCCCCCAUGCCAUGAAACAGGUGUCCAGUGUGUGUUGUUCUUCCUGAUGUGUCCAUGUGUUCUCAUUGAUCUGCUUCUGCUAAUAAGUUAGAAUAAUAAUAGGUGGUGUUUGGUUUUCUGUUCCUGCAUUAGUUUGCUGGGAGUAGUGGCUUCAAAUUCCAACCAUGUCCCUGCAAAGGACAUCAUCUCAUUACAUUUUAUGGCUUCAUAGUGUUCCAUGGUGUAUGUGUACCACAUUUUCUUUAUCCAGUAUAUCAUUGAUGGGCAUGUAGAUUGAUUACAUGACGUUGCUAUUGUAAAUAUUGCUGCAAUGAACAUAUGUAUACAUGUUUAUUUAAAAUAGAUUUAUAUUCCUUUGGGUGUAUGCCCAGUAAUAGUAUUGCUGGGUCAAAUGGUAUUUCUGCUUCUAGGUCUUUGAGGAAUCUCCACACUCUCUUCCACAAUGCUUGAAAUAAUUUACAAUCCCACCAACAGUGUAAAAGUGUUCCCUUUUCUCCACAACCUCACCAGCAUCUGUUUUUAUUUCUUUUUUACUUUUUAUUAAUAGACAUUGUAAUUGGUGUGAGAUGGUAUCUCAUUGUUGUUUUGAUGUGUAUUUAUCCACUUAUCAGUGAUGUUGAGCUUUCCAUGUUUGUUGGGCACAUGUAUGUCUUCUUUUGAGAUAUGUCUGUUCAUGUCCUUUGACCACUUUUUAAUGGGGUUGUUUGUUUUUCUCUUGUAAAUUUUAAGUCCCUCAUAGAUUCUGGGUAUUAGAUAUUUGUCAGAUGAAUAGGUUGCAAAAUUUUUCUCCCAUUCUCUAGCUUCUCUGCUCUGAUGAUAGCUUCUUUGGCUCUGUGGAAUCUCUUUAGUUUAAUUAGACCCCAUUAGUCAAUUUUUGCUUUUGUUGCUAUUUCUUUUGGUCUUUUUGUCAUCAAAUCUUUCCUCAUGACUAUAUCCUGAAUGGUAUUUUCUAGAUUUUUUCUUCUAAGGUUUUUAUAGUUUUGGGUUUUACAUUCAAGUCUUUAAUCCAUCUUGAGUCAAUUUUUGUCUAUGGUGUUAGGAAGGGUUCCAGUCUUAAUUCUCUGCACAUGACUAGCCAGUUAUCCUAGCACUAUUUAUUGAAUAGGGAGACUUUUCCCUAAUUCCUUGUUUUUGUUGACUUUGUCAAAGAUCAGUUUGUUGUAGGUUUUUGGCUUUAUUUCUAUGCUCUCUAUUUUGUUUCAUUUGUCUAUGUGUCUGUUUCUAUACCAGUACCAUGCUGUUUUUGUUACUGUACUCUUCUAGUACAGUUUGAAGUUAGGCAAUGACCCUUUCAGCUUUUUUUUUUUUUUUUUCUUAAGGUUGGCUUGGCUAUUUGGGCUCUUUUUUGGUUCCAUUUUAAUUUUAAAAAGUUUUUUUUUUCUAAUUAUCUGAAGAAUGUCAGUAGUUCAAUGGGAACAGCAUUGAAUCUAUAAAUUACUUAGGGCAAUAUGCUCAUAUUCGUGGUACUGAUUCUUUCUCUCCGUGAGCAUGGAAUGUUUCUCCAUUUGUUUUGUGUCCACUCUGAUUCCUCUGAGUAGUUGUUUGUAGUUCUCCUUGAAGAUAUCCUUCACUUUCCUUCUUAGCUGUAUUCCUUGGUAUUUUUUUCUCUUUAUAGCAAAUGUGAAUGAAAGUUCAUUCAUGAUUUGUCUCCCUGCUUGCCUGUUGCUUGUGUAUGGGAAUGCUAGCUACUUUUGCAGAUUGAUUUUAUAUCCUGAGAUUUUGCUACUGCUGCUUAUCACCUUAAGAAGCUUUGGGGCUGAGACGAAGAGGCUUUCUAGAUAUAGGGUCAGGUCAUCUGUAAACAAAGAUAAUUUGACUUUCUCUCUUUCUAUUUGAAUACUGUUUAUUUCUUCCUCUGGCCUGAUUUUCCUGGACAAGUUUUCCGAAUGGGAGUUGUAAUGCGAGUGGUGAGAGAGAGCAUACUUUUCUUGUGCCGGUUUUCAGGGGGAAUGUUUCCAGCUUUUGCACAUUCAGUAUGAUAUUGGCUGUGGGUUUGUUGUAUAUGGCUCUUCUUAUUUUGAGGUAUGUUUCUUCAGUUCCUAGUUUAUUGAGAAUUUUAAACGUGAAGGAAUGUUGAAUUUUAUUGGGUGCUUUUUCUGCAUCUAUUGAGGUAAUCAUGUGUUUUUUUUAUUUAGUUUUCUUUAUGUGAUGAGUCACAUUUGUUGAUUUGCAUAUGUUGAAUCAACCUUGCAUCCUGGGGACAAAGCCAAUUCCAUUGUGGUGGAUGCACUUUUUAAUGUGCUGCUGGGUUUGGUUUGCCAGUAUUUUAUUGAGGAUGUUUGCACAGUGUUCAUCAAAGACAUUGGCAUGAUGUGUUGUUGUUGUUGUUGUUGUAUCUAUGUUAGGUUUUGGUAUCAGGAUGAUGCUGGCCUGAUAGAAUGAGUUAGACAGAACUUCUUUGUCUUCAAUUUUUUUUGGAUAGUUUUAGGAGAAAAUGUACUAUCUCCUCUUUACCUCAAGUCAAAUUCAGCUUGCUUGGUAGGCUAGUUCUUACUGCCUCAAUUUCAGAACACAUUAUUGAUCUAUUCAGGGUUCAGUCUUGUGGAGAGUUUAUUUUGCAAGGAAAUUGUCCAUUUCUUCUAGAUUUUCUGGUUUAUGAGCAUAGAGGUGUUUAUAGUAUUCUCUGAUCAUUGUUCUUAUUUCCAUGGGAUCAGUGAUGAUAUCUCCCUUAUUAUUUCUAUUUGUGUUUGGUUCUUUCUUUUCUUAUUUAUUUGCCUAACUAGUGUUCCAUCUAGUUUAUUAAUUUUUUUUUUUUUUUUUUCAUAAAAACAGCUCCUGGAUUGGUUGAGUUUUUUUUUUUUUUUUUUUUUUUUGGAAGAGUUCUCAGUGUCUCUAUCUCCUUCAGCUCUACUCUGAUCUUGGCUAUUUCUUGUUUUCUGCUAGCUUUCAGGUUUGUUUUCACUUGGUUUUCUUGUUCUUUUAAUCAAGAUGUUAGGCUGUUAACUUCAGAUCUUUCUAAUUUUUUUUUUUUUCUUGUGGGAGAGUUUCACUCUGUCACCCAGACUGGAGUACAGUGGCAUAAUCUCGGCUCACUGCAACCUCCUCUUCUCGGUUUUAAGUCACUUCUGCUGUCUCAGCCUCCUGAGUAGCUGGGAUUACAGAUGUGAAUCACCACACCUAGCUAAUUUUUGUAUUUUUUUGUAGAGAUAUGGUUUUGCUGUUGGUCAGGCUGGUCCUGAACACCUGGUCUCAAGUGAUCUGCCUACCCCAGCCUCCCAAAGUGCUGGAAUUACAGGCAUGAGCCACCAUGACUGGCCCUUUCUAGCUUUUUGAUGUGGACAUUAGUGCUAUAAAUUUUCCUCUUUUCUUGGUUUCUAGUGAUUAUUUUAUUCUAUCUUGGUGAGUAGUCAGGGAAAUAAUCUUAAAUUUACAAUCAACUUAUAGUUUAAAUCUAAAAAAUUAUGUGAGAAGAACCCUUUGUUAUUUGAAGGGGAUGUUUGAAGAUUUUGUAACCGUGCCUUUUAGGUAGUCCUAAAUUUCUAAUUGUAGUUAAAAACAUGCCAUUUUCAUUUCUAACAUUUUAAGUAUAUGGUUUAGAAGUGGUAAGUAUAGUUCUAUUUUUUUUGCAAUAGGUUUUAGAUAAUUUUUGUCUUACAAAAUUAAAAGUGAAUACUCAUUAAUUCUGAAACAAGUUAGUUAGCUUGCUUUAGUUAGAUAGCAAGAGAAGGGUCCCUGGAAAGUCCCUGGCCCUUGGGUCAGUAUCUCAUCCCUGCAUAACAUAAAAGGAAUCCUGGAAAAAAUCAAGCUGCAGACACUAACAAGGUAACUAGCACAUGGUGUUGUGCUUGGAGACCUGCCCAUGGCUGCCCAGACAGAAAAACCUCUGGCCCAUUUGGAUAAAAACUGGUACAAACCUCCAGCUCACUGAGAUAAGGGAACAAGACCGACCUGGCAUAGAAUUGCCUUUGUUUGGCCAGGCAUGGUGGCUCAUGCCCGUAAUUCCAGCAAUUUGGGCGGAAGUGGACGGAUCACCUGAGGUCGGGAGUUCGAGACCAGCAUGACCAACAUGGAGAAACCCUGUCUCUACUAAAAAUACAAAAUUAGCCGGGCAUGGCGCCUCAUGCCUGUAAUCCCAGCUACUUGGGAGGCUGAGGCAGGAGAAUCACUUACAUCCAGGUGGCGGAGUUUGCUGUGGGCCGAGAUCGCACCACUGCACUCCAGCCUGGGCAACAAGAGCAAAACUACGUCUCAAAAUAAAUAAAUAAAUAAAUAAAUAAAUAAAUAAAUAAAUAAAUAAUAAGAAAGUACAUCUCAAAAAAAAAAUGAAAGAAAGAAAGAAAAGAAAAAGAAAAAAAGAAACGCCUUUGUACUUUGUGCAGUCAGUGCGCUCCCAGGAAAAUGUUUCUUCUCCUUCUGUGGGCAUAAGCACAGUGGGCUCUGGUGCAUUCCGGUCGACACUCUCCUUUAUUUGGACUGUAAGUCUGACCUCUGUGAAUAAUUACUUCAGCCCCUGAUUGCUCCCGGGACAAGCUCCUGCGCCAAGCUUUCACUUUGGCUUCUGAUAAGUCCUGGGCCAAUCUAAAUAGCAUGUAUGAAUCAUCCCUUCAGCUCCUGAUUGGUCCCGGGCCAAAGUCCUGGGCCAAGCUGAGCCACACUUUUUUCAAGACAGCCUGUGAACUAAGCACAUUUCCUUCUCUUCCUUUCCCAGUCCAUAAAAACCUUGGGCCCCAGCCUCACAGAGGUCACCCCAUUCAGAAACUAUCUCUGCUGGCAAAGAGCUUUCUUCUCUUGCUUAUCAAACUUUCACUCUAACCUCACCUUUGUGUUCACGCUCCUUAAUCUCCCUAGAAGUAGAACAAAGAACUUUCGAUGCUAUCUCAGACUAUGAGAGACUGUUACAUCUUGGUGCACUGCUGAGACUACAACACUUGGUUUCUUUGAGUUUGACUAAAUAUUUUACAUAGGUGUAAUUAUACAGUUUUCCUUUUUGACUGUCUUGUUUUACUUAACAGAAUGUUUUCGAGAUUUGUCCUUAUUGUAGUACUUUUCAAGAUUUCCUUAUUUUUAAGGCUGAAUGCUAUCCCAGUGAAUAUACGUGCCCUGUUUGUUGAAUCUACUCAUCCUUAAAGGUAACUUCUUAGACCAAGUCUAGAAACAGUCUGAGGACAAUAACAAUUCCAUUCUAAAAAGAAUCUCCCAACAUUUCUUCUAUCUCUACCUCAACUGCAUCUGCCUGUGAACUUCCAGCUUACCAAGGCUCUAUAUCUUCUGGCAGUGACAAAGGCUCCUUCCAUGAUUGGUGUGAGUAGGCUUGGACACCUGCAGGGCAGACACCCAGGAAUAAUCAACUGAGCCUUCAGUGGUCCUCUUUUGCUGGGUCAAGAUAUGUAUUCAUUUCCUACCACCGUAGUGGAAGAGAUACUAUCCCUAUCUUUACAACUGAUAGCAUUUCCAACAGUAAGCUGUGAGAUUCUGCUUGAAAUCACCUCUCAAACAAAUAAAAAACAGACCUGGGAGACAUGCUACGCUCAUUCUGCUGAAGAAAUAGGCAUCAUAGCUGGGAAACGGAUUCACAAGACCCAGGCUGUUCCCUACAUAUGUUUCCUCCUCCGACAUCAGUUCAUCAGUCAAUCAAGCCAUGUGAGAGUGGAGGCCUUGUAUUCCCUAUUAUUCUUGGGCACUCUACUCCAAGUAGGAAAAGGCCAGGAGGUCCUGUUAAAGGAUGCACUCAGAGCCCGGGCUCCCUAACAUAUGAGAGUGCUAACCAGCAGGUGUAGACUUUUCAGGAGUGAAGAAUGAGGCAGGCAUUCCAAACCUGGACCUUCAUCACCUUUUGUUUCAUCUCAAGACAAUUCUGAGGGACUGUUUUGGAGCGUGUCUGGAAGGUGAACCUUGAAGAAGAGUGUGGGUUUUGAUGUGACUCAGUUGAGAUCUUUCAUGGGGAGGCAGGAAUUCAAUGCCCAGAAUCUGGGCUGGUGUCUUUGAGGUCAGUAGGUUGCGUCUUUGUAUCCAAGUCCAUUGUUACUAGGUUGGAGGCUGGAGAUUCUAAAUGGCUUCCAGACCAUCUCUCUGAUUCUCUUUGGGAGAUGGGGUCUGAAAGACAAUGUCAGUAGUUUUGGGAAAUUCUAGAAAGUGUGCUUGGAAACGUGGGAAGAGCUCUUGCCUAGUGCCUAAAUGCUCCAUUUGCAGCUCUAGCCAAGUAGAUACUUGGUAGGUAUAGAGCCGGGUUUGCGUUUAUAUUAGCAAAACCUAUGUCAGAGUUGAAGAAGUAGUCAGGAAAAAGCGUCUUGGUCGCAGGCCGGGGAACAUCUUAAAAGCAAACUUCUAGCCUGCUGACUCUUGGCAAUGAGUGUUGGAUCCUGGCUAAAGUGCCUUGAAUGCAGCAUGAGGCCAAUCCAUGAAUCCAACUUCUCAUGGAGAAAUGUUAAUAUUUUUUCAGUUUGAAUCAAUCAGGGUGAAACUACCAUGCUAUUGGUUUGCUUACUUUUUAUUAUUUCAUGUAAAAUCUAAGACAAAAUACAUUAAAUGCUUAUUGACAUAUGUAUUUAUUCUUCACCAGGCUGAUAAUAUCUGCCUAAUUUUAAACUUUCUUCCAUUUUGUAGGUUUCAACUUAUUCUAUUGUAAGAUACUGUUAAAUCUAAUAGAGGCAUUGUCACUUUUACGUAUAAUUUUAUUUUAUUUCAUAUAUUUCCUAUUGGUUUUUUACAUUUAAAUUAUGGAGCACUUCAUCAUAUAAAAAACUUCAAUUAUAUUUAAACAGUAAGUCUUUGGAUUUUUUUGCCUUUUAAUUUCCAUAUUACAUAAUAAUGAGAUAAACAUUAAUGUUUUCAGGGUACUUUAAAUUUUAGAUAAUUACUCAUUGUAUUCAUGUGAAAUUUGUUUUUACUGCAUGUGUGGGUUGGAGGACGGUUUUCACUUCUGAUUCAUCUUUACUCUUAUCUCAUCAGAGCUCAUACCUCUUGUAGUUGGGGGAUUGCAGUUUAUAAUUCCAAUAAAUGGGGCAAAUUCAAUAAUAACAUAAUACAAAUGAGUUUGAAUGCAGGACAGGUCUUCAAAGCAUACACAACAUGGGCCUACAUAUGUACAACAAUAAUAAUUUAUAAGUUACUGUUUGGAUGGAAAGUAAAAGUACAGAAAAUUUGUUAAAGGAAAUUAAAAUGGAGAUCAUGUCUCAAUAAUCUCUGAGCAGACAAAAUUAGUUAGGUCUCAUAAGUGAUCUCAACCUCGCUUGAUUUGCAAAUACAAACAAAACUUACAUUAUUUCUUGUAGCUGCAUAUUGAAAAAAGAGAAAUGAAGCUCAACCAGUCAGAAGUAGCCAACAACCUUAUAUAAAUAGAAACUGUCCAACAAGGUAAACAGACAAACAAAAAACAAUAAAAAAAGUUGUGCUACCACCAAAUGAUUUCUUUGUUUCUACAUUUUUCAAAUAAAUACUUGCUUCUUACACUGUCAAUGAAGCACUCAAUAUCUUUCCGUCUGAUAUUUUAUAAUUUAUCAAUUGCUCUUACUCAAAUAAACACUUUGCAAUUUCA